rnacentral:lncRNA from 1 species
GAAAAUUGAAAUCCUACUCAUAAACAAAAUUGAAUCACAUUAGUUGUAGAUGAGAACAAAUCAAAACAAAAAGGAAAAUUUUCAUUCACUUGCAAAUUUGUUCAAUCAUCAUUCAUAUCAAAUCAAUCAGGAUUCAAUGCCAAAACUUGGUCCUAUUGCUACAUAAAUACCACAGAAUUCUACGUAAAAAGGACACACACACAGAGAAGAAAAGAGAAAAAAAAACACGAAAAAAAAAUCACAGAGAAAAAUCACACGCAAAAAAGAGAGAACCAAAAUGAAGACACAACAAGGAAGAAACUUCAAACACUUCCACCUCCACCGG